UACAGCCAGAGCAUGUUUAAACACCGGUUCCCGUACAAUCAUCGAAGUUAAGCAACAUCAAGCCUAGUUUGUACCUAAAUGGGUGAUGGCUUAGGAAUACCAGAUG